AGUUCUAAGGACAUAUGGAAUUGGCUAUGGAUAAUUCAUAUGCUUUCAAUCAACGAAGCACAUGUAAUGGAAUUCCAUCUGAGAAGAAAAACAACUUCCUUGUAUCAGAAGAUCAUGGACAAAAAAUCUUAAGUGUACUACAGAAUUUUAGAGAACAAAAUGUCUUUUAUGAUUUCAAAAUAAUUAUGAAAGAUGAAAUAAUCCCGUGUCAUCGUUGUGUGUUAGCAGCAUGCAGUGACUUUUUCAGGUCUUCCCAGGUCAGCAUUUCCCAAAGUUCUCUGGAACAUUAAUCCCUUGAACUACGCUGGGACAGAAGAAAUUUUUUUGAUGGUGUCAGCUUUGUUUGGGGGAUCCCUGUGUUGUAUUAUUUUAGAAAAAGAAGACGACAGGUUGAACAAAAAUGGAAGCAAAAUUUGAAGAAAAUAACUCUGCGAGAAAAGAAAAUUUCCGUCCUGUGUUGUAUUCAUGUAUUACGGGGAGAGGAGGGUCUAACCGAUUUAAAAAUUUAUCCUCUCCUUAGCAAAUUCAUCCUCUCCUUAUAUUAGGGAAAAGUACUUCUUAGCUAUAAGGCAUUUCUUGAAAGCUCUCAGCUUGUUCUAAUUCUAAGCAACCUUCUGAAUAUAAUUUGGUUUCCCAUGUAGAUCACCCUAAAGAGAAUGUCCUAUUCAUAACACUGCAGUAAUCACUAUGAUGACAGCAGAUUUCCAUUUCUGCGAAGUUAAGGGUCAGACACAUGACCUUGCAAUUACUGU
rnacentral:lncRNA from 1 species